GUUUCAAUUCCUCAUAGGCAGGCUAUCGGCGGUGAAUAGUGGGGAAGAACAAUUCAGCGUGAUCCG
rnacentral:sRNA from 1 species